UACAGAGGUCCCAAGCGUUGUUCGGAUUCACUGGGCGUAAAGGGUGCGUAGGUGGUCGGGUAAGUCUGAUGUGAAAUCUUCGAGCUCAACUCGAAAAUGGCAUUGGAUACUAUUCGGCUGGAGGGUUGGAAGGGGGACUGGAAUUCUCGGUGUAGCAGUGAAAUGCGUAGAUAUCGAGAGGAACACCGGUGGCGAAGGCGAGUCUCUGGACAGCAACUGACGCUGAGGCACGAAGGCCAGGGGAGCAAACGGG
rnacentral:rRNA from 1 species